CUUGGUUUAUAUGAUCUUUAUUUUUCCAUUUGUGUUUUUCUUCACUUCACAUUGAUAAAAAGGUGUCAGCUACCCUCAAGAUUUGUUUUGUUAUGAGUAAUUUCAAUAAUUGUUAUCCAAAGUUUGAACAAUCAGUGUCUCAUUUUUACAGGAUGUCGAAGAAGCUGGAAAGUAUGGGUUGUGGUAUAUUGUGUAGUUUCUCUUUUGAUUUGUAAUAUGUCUUUGGUAAAUACACUAAUAAUAGUUUUAGGUAUAUGCAGCUUUCGCAUAUUAAACUAACAUCCAUGAAAUUUGGGAAAGGACUGAUGUCUUUAUAGUGUAGGAAAUAGAUGUGUUAAUCAUUAUAGUGAAAACACAUAUGUACUGUAUGUUAAGAUAGAUUUAAUGCUGGACUCAGCUAUACCUAAAAAUCAAAACUGGUAGUCACUAACUUAGUUAAGCUCUGAGGUUGUGGUGCAGUAGUUUAGUUCUUCAUCUUAUUGAGCAUUGUGUUGUGUGUGUGUUUCUUCUAGGAACAAGUUUAUGCAGUAUUUUUGUUAUAGGUUUUAAUUUGUGACAGUAUUACUUUAGGAAAUGAAAUGAGGGAUGCGAUUGGUAAGAUAGUUAACGUCAGAUGUUGUCUUUUGACAAAAUUUUCUCAUUUUGCAAAAAGAAAAGAAGAAAAAAAUAUGAGAUCACUGUAUAGGUUUUGAUUCUGUCUAGAUUUUGAUUAUAAUUAAUUUGUUAAGAUCUUACCAUCCUGCAGAGAAGUUCCCUGUUUCUGUUUAAUGUUUUACUUUAAUUUGGCAGCUUUGUCCUUACUAGCAAGUGAAGUUGAGUCACAUGAUUCUCAGAUGGACAAAAAGAAAUUAAAAUGCAAUAUUCUGAUCAACAGAUGCAAUAUUCUGAAAAUUAAGGAUGAGAUUGUGAUUAGCAUGACCAAUGGUGAAGUAAUUUACAUGGAACAGUGUUAAGAAAGGUAUUUUUAGUCAUAGAUUGAAAACUUUUGCAGUUACUGUACACCUCUCCUAUUUCUCUCUCUUAUUUUCUUUUGUUAAAGAAAAUAACAAUCUUUAAUGCAGUUCAUUAUGUACAAUCACGGUUAAGCUUUAUCCAUUUUGAUUUAGAUUUUUGAGGAUGCAAAUAUUACAUGCUUUUUUUUCUCUCUUGAAAUAUCCAUCUUAGAGUUUAUUUUAUUUCCAGGAUGGAUUAUUUGUAACAUUGAAAAUACAGUGUUUGAGAUUUAUUAUUUUUAUAUGUGAAAUAUAUACUUUAUUUUCAUGUCACAUCAUUUGUAGUAUGUACAUUUCUAGACCAAUAAAAAGAAAUACACAGAAGGA